GCAACAACUACAGCAACCACUGCUCGAACGAUCUUCAAGCUAUACGCGGGGGCGACAUAUUGGCGUGAUGCAGCAUUCAAGGCAACUCCUGCUGCGUAGAAGGUCGACUCAGUCAGCCUCAAACUGACCCCCGAGUCUGAGUGGACCCGGCUAAAUAGACUACUUUUGAAUCUGAGUGAGCCUGAAUGGAAUUCCGGUGACUUGCAGUCAGAGGAAGUGAAGCUGAACUAAAUUUAGCGGCAGCGUGACGGGAGUUCGAUCAUCAGCCUUUGCUCGUCGCAAGCGCCGUCGGUGCCAACAGCUCACACAUUCGUUC